ACUCAGGUGUUGUUGGGUAGGGGAGCGUUCUGUAAGCCUGCGAAGGUGGCCUGUGAGGGUUGCUGGAGGUAUCAGAAGUGCGAAUGCUGACAUAAGUAACGAUAAAGCGGGUGAAAAGCCCGCUCGCCGGAAGACCAAGGGUUCCUGUCCAACGUUAAUCGGGGCAGGGUGAGUCGACCCCUAAGGCGAGGCCGAAAGGCGUAGUCGAUGGGAAACGGGUUAAUAUUCCCGUACUUGGUGUUACUGCGAAGGGGGGACGGAGAAGGCUAUGUUGGCCGGGCGACGGUUGUCCCGGUUUAAGCGUGUAGGUGUGUGUUCCAGGUAAAUCCGGUUCACUUUAACACUGAGGCGUGACGACGAGGCACUACGGUGCUGAAGCAACAAAUGCCCUGCUUCCAGGAAAAGCCUCUAAGCAUCAGGUAACAUCAAAUCGUACCCCAAACCGACACAGGUGGUCAGGUAGAGAAUACCAAGGCGCUUGAGAGAACUCGGGUGAAGGAACUAGGCAAAAUGGUGCCGUAACUUCGGGAGAAGGCACGCUGACAUGUAGGUGAAGUGAUUUACUCAUGGAGCUGAAGUCAGUCGAAGAUACCAGCUGGCUGCAACUGUUUAUUAAAAACACAGCACUGUGCAAACACGAAAGUGGACGUAUACGGUGUGACGCCUGCCCGGUGCCGGAAGGUUAAUUGAUGGGGUCAGCGCAAGCGAAGCUCCUGAUCGAAGCCCCGGUAAACGGCGGCCGUAACUAUAACGGUCCUAAGGUAGCGAAAUUCCUUGUCGGGUAAGUUCCGACCUGCACGAAUGGCGUAAUGAUGGCCAGGCUGUCUCCACCCGAGACUCAGUGAAAUUGAACUCGCUGUGAAGAUGCAGUGUACCCGCGGCAAGACGGAAAGACCCCGUGAACCUUUACUAUAGCUUGACACUGAACAUUGAGCCUUGAUGUGUAGGAUAGGUGGGAGGCUUUGAAGUGUGGACGCCAGUCUGCAUGGAGCCGACCUUGAAAUACCACCCUUUAAUGUUUGAUGUUCUAACGUGGACCCGUGAUCCGGGUUGCGGACAGUGUCUGGUGGGUAGUUUGACUGGGGCGGUCUCCUCCUAAAGAGUAACGGAGGAGCACGAAGGUUGGCUAAUCCUGGUCGGACAUCAGGAGGUUAGUGCAAUGGCAUAAGCCAGCUUGACUGCGAGCGUGACGGCGCGAGCAGGUGCGAAAGCAGGUCAUAGUGAUCCGGUGGUUCUGAAUGGAAGGGCCAUCGCUCAACGGAUAAAAGGUACUCCGGGGAUAACAGGCUGAUACCGCCCAAGAGUUCAUAUCGACGGCGGUGUUUGGCACCUCGAUGUCGGCUCAUCACAUCCUGGGGCUGAAGUAGGUCCCAAGGGUAUGGCUGUUCGCCAUUUAAAGUGGUACGCGAGCUGGGUUUAGAACGUCGUGAGACAGUUCGGUCCCUAUCUGCCGUGGGCGCUGGAGAACUGAGGGGGGCUGCUCCUAGUACGAGAGGACCGGAGUGGACGCAUCACUGGUGUUCGGGUUGUCAUGCCAAUGGCACUGCCCGGUAGCUAAAUGCGGAAGAGAUAAGUGCUGAAAGCAUCUAAGCACGAAACUUGCCCCGAG
rnacentral:rRNA from 1 species